AGUUAUCUCCCCCUUUACUGAAGCUGAGUUGGGGUCAUCUGAACCAGACUGUGCGUCGUCCAGGGCUUGCCUUGGCACAGGGCCCUUGAACUUCUUCAGCCCCAUAAGUCCUUGCGUUUGGAUGCACCUGGCUACAGCUAAGAGGAGGAAAAAUCAAAUCUCACUGUAUAUCAAGCAGAGGAUUCAGGCUGGGAUGCAGAGAGAAGGAAAAUGAAAGAAUGGCCACUUUUCAGCCGCAGCAGGUCCUGAGAGAAAUCCAUGUAUCCUGGAAGGCAGAAGGUUGGAUCCUAUGUCUCUAUUAUGGGAAGAUCCAUCUUUGCUCUGCUUCAAAUAGGUCAAAUGUCAGGUGGUAGGUUUUCUCACUUUGCUUAACCAGAACUGUUUGUAAAAUAGGCCAGAAAAAUAGAGACCUAGUUUAGCAUUUGGGAUCACAUCUUCUCCCUAAACAAAAGCCUUAGUGAAGAGGAGACCUUGUGCUUUGAAGGUCUGUCCUCAAUCAGAGGUUGAAGAGCUACUUUUUCUAAUUAUCAGUCCUUGGUCUGUCAAUCACAGUUGGGGAAUUGACAUAUGAAGCCCUCUCGCAUUGUUUUCAGUUGUGAUUCUGAUUAAAUUUUGUU